rnacentral:rRNA from 1 species
GGAUGGGCGGGGUGCUUACCAUGGCAGUCGAACGAAGCACCUGAGAAUGAUUCUUCGGAUGAAGUCUCUUGUGACUGAGUGGCGGACGGGUGAGUAACGCGUGGGUAACCUGCCUCACACAGGGGGAUAACAGUUGGAAACGACCGCUAAUACCGCAUAACCCGCUGGUGCCGCAUGGCACUGACGGAAAAGAUUUUAUCGGUGUGAGAUGGACCCGCGUCUGAUUAGCCAGUUGGCAGGGUAACGGCCUACCAAAGCGACGAUCAGUAGCCGGCCUGAGAGGGUGAACGGCCACAUUGGGACUGAGACACGGCCCAGACUCCUGCGGGAGGCAGCAGUGGGGAAUAUUGCACAAUGGGGGAAACCCUGAUGCAGCGACGCCGCGUGAGUGAAGAAGUAUUUCGGUAUGUAAAGCUCUAUCAGCAGGGAAGAAAAUGACGGUACCUGAUUAAGAAGCCCCGGCUAACUACGUGCCAGCAGCCGCGGUAAUACGUAGGGGGCAAGCGUUAUCCGGAUUUACUGGGUGUAAAGGGAGCGUAGACGGUGAUGCAAGUCAGAAGUGAAAGCCCGGGGCUCAACUCCGGGACUGCUUUUGAAACUGUGUGACUGGAGUGCAGGAGAGGUAAGCGGAAUUCCUGGUGUAGCGGUGAAAUGCGUAGAUAUCAGGAGGAACACCAGUGGCGAAGGCGGCUCUCUGGACUGUAACUGACGUUGAGGCUCGAAAGCGUGNGGAGCAAACAGGAUUAGAUACCCUGGUAGUCCACGCCGUANACGAUGAAUAUUANGUGUCGGGGAGCAAA